rnacentral:rRNA from 1 species
GUGCCAGCAGCCGCGGUAAUACAGAGGGUGCAAGCGUUAAUCGGAAUUACUGGGCGUAAAGCGCGCGUAGGUGGUUUGUUAAGUUGAAUGUGAAAUCCCCGGGCUCAACCUGGGAACUGCAUCCAAAACUGGCGAGCUAGAGUAUGGUAGAGGGUGGUGGAAUUUCCUGUGUAGCGGUGAAAUGCGUAGAUAUAGGAAGGAACACCAGUGGCGAAGGCGACCACCUGGACUGAUACUGACACUGAGGUGCGAAAGCGUGGGGAGCAAACAGG